rnacentral:rRNA from 1 species
UACGAAGGGGGCUAGCGUUGUUCGGAAUUACUGGGCGUAAAGGGCGCGUAGGCGGUGUGUCAAGUCAGGCGUGAAAGCCCCGGGCUCAACCUGGGAACCGCGCUUGAGACUGGCACGCUAGAGUUCGGGAGAGGAUGGUGGAAUUCCCAGUGUAGAGGUGAAAUUCGUAGAUAUUCGCAAGAACACCAGUGGCGAAGGCGGCUCACUGGCCCGAUACUGACGCUGAGGUGCGAAAGCGUGGGGAGCAAACAGG